GGCCCGUGUGUUACAUCAUCUCCACACACGGGCGUUUCCACGGCAACCGCUUAUAGCUUCAUUUCCUGGAUCCCUCUAGGGGGUGUCACAGCCAGAUCCACCUGCUUUUCACCCUACCCUCGGUGGGGUCAUGGGUUAUCUGAUGGAGGUCAGGGGACCACAAAAGUCUGUCCCUGUGGGAAAAAUAAGCAUCAGGAAGAGUGAACACAAGAGCCUGGUAUCACUAAGGAAUGUGGUCCAAUCUUGGACUGUGCAAGCACAAGAGUUGGAACAGGAAAGACGGGAGCGGGCUGCUGGGAUGGAGACGGCAUGGCUUUUCCAGGAACCGGCCACGCCUUGCCAGAGCAGCCUGUUUGUGUACAGUGAAAAAUAACAAUUUGAAUGUUU